rnacentral:rRNA from 1 species
CUGAACCAGCCAAGUAGCGUGAAGGAUGACUGCCCUAUGGGUUGUAAACUUCUUUUAUAAAGGAAUAAAGUCGGGUAUGGAUACCCGUUUGCAUGUACUUUAUGAAUAAGGAUCGGCUAACUCCGUGCCAGCAGCCGCGGUAAUACGGAGGAUCCGAGCGUUAUCCGGAUUUAUUGGGUUUAAAGGGAGCGCAGGCGGACUCUUAAGUCAGUUGUGAAAGUUUGCGG